GUGGGAUGUCAGUGUCGGCGUGG
rnacentral:piRNA from 1 species